GAAUCCCGUCCACCGAUUGACUAAGGUUUCCAGAGGAAGGCUCGUCCGCUCUGGGUUAGUCGGGUCCUAAGCUGAGGCCGACAGGCGUAGGCGAUGGAUAACAGGUUGAUAUUCCUGUACCACCUAUAAUCGUUUUAAUCGAUGGGGGGACGCAGUAGGAUAGGCGAAGCGUGCGAUUGGAUUGCACGUCUAAGCAGUAAGGCUGAGUAUUAGGCAAAUCCGGUACUCGUUGAGGCUGAGCUGUGAUGGGGAGAAGACAUUGUGUCUUCGAGUCGUUGAUUUCACACUGCCGAGAAAAGCCUCUAGAUAGAAAAUAGGUGCCCGUACCGCAAACCGACACAGGUAGUCAAGAUGAGAAUUCUAAGGUGAGCGAGCGAACUCUCGUUAAGGAACUCGGCAAAAUGACCCCGUAACUUCGGGAGAAGGGGUGCUCUUUAGGGUUAACGCCCAGAAGAGCCGCAGUGAAUAGGCCCAAGCGACUGUUUAUCAAAAACACAGGUCUCUGCUAAACCGUAAGGUGAUGUAUAGGGGCUGACGCCUGCCCGGUGCUGGAAGGUUAAGAGGAGUGGUUAGCUUCUGCGAAGCUACGAAUCGAAGCCCCAGUAAACGGCGGCCGUAACUAUAACGGUCCUAAGGUAGCGAAAUUCCUUGUCGGGUAAGUUCCGACC
rnacentral:rRNA from 2 species